rnacentral:rRNA from 1 species
UGGCGGACGGGUGAGUAAUGUCUGGGAAACUGCCUGAUGGAGGGGGAUAACUACUGGAAACGGUAGCUAAUACCGCAUAACGUCGCAAGACCAAAGAGGGGGACCCUCGGGCCUCUUGCCAUCGGAUGUGCCCAGAUGGGAUUAGCUGUGGUGGGGUAACGGCUCACCAGGCGACGAUCCCUAGCUGGUCUGAGAGGAUGACCAGCCACACUGGAACUGAGACACGGUCCAGACUCCUACGGGAGGCAGCAUG